UCUACACCAUCCAUAUGUUCUUCUGAAAUAUCAACACAGAAAUACUGGACAAUUAUGGUUGCGAUUUGACACAAUUACAACUAUGGUCUUGAAUUGGAAUCACAUUUUUUCUGGUCGCCAUCCUCCCGGCAUUUUUCUUGUCAACCCCCUCCCAGAUCAUGGUCUUGACUCGGGCUCAAUUUUCUCCGGUCUUGGUCUUGAAUCGGUCUUGCUUUAAGUGGUCUUGAAAACAACACUGCCUUUGGAUUUGCCAGUGCUGCUCCUAAUGUGACUAAUGUCCUGUUCUCCUCUUCCUCUCUGUCUUCCUCUUCUUCUUCUCCCUGUAUCUACUUCUCAGUAGUACCACUGCACCCUAACAUCCCCACCAUGCCUCCUCCUCCACCUCCUCCUCCACUUCCUCCUCCUCUUCCUCCUGUCUCUCAGGCACCUCCCCCUCCUCCUCCUCUAAGCAACGGAUUUCACUUCUCGUUUGUCUAAUCAGAGAAAACAAACCAAAGCGCUUUCUGGACACUGAGGUGCUGUUCCAUGAUGACAAUACAACCUGGAUUCUUGAAGAAAGAAAGACCUUGUUUGGUUGUGACAGUUACACUGUUAUACAGUAGAUGGGCGUUAGUGAACAUUUAACCUGCCCUCAGUAGCACGCAGCAGGACUUACUCGCUGAUGCAUUUUUAGUAGCUAAAAUGAAGUAACUAUUUUCUUAAGAAAAUGUAUGUCUGCUGUGAAAGCUGCUGUGCAUAUUAACUUUGGAAGUGUCUAACAGAUGUUAAUCCCAUAAUAGAAAAUGUUUUAUACACGUUAUUGCACUUUUAGCAUUAUACUGUAGAACUGAAAGAGAUAUUUUCAAGGUGAGAAUGUUUUGUCUUGCAGUGUGAUCUGAAUUUGGAGGGAACUUGUAUUUUUUCAAAAAGGUUAAUGAGAGUAUUCACCAACUGGAAGGUCGAUAUGAACAUGAUAAGGUACUGAACAUGUGUCAUGUUGAUUGUAUUUUUGUCAAAACUCAGAUGAUAUUCUUACACCAAAUCACUUGAAAUGUAAUCUGUGUUUGUAUCUAGCACUGCCAGUCUCUUAUUGGCUUGCCAAAUUGAUUUUAUUUUUGCUUACAACAUUGGGAGGAAAAUAACAUUGAACAUAAUAUUUUCUGGAUGGCUUGGGCAGGUUGCACAAUGAUAAUUAUUAAAAAUGUAAAUAUUAAAGAUAUUAACAUGACAUUUGCCUUAUCAAAUGUUUUGUCUUCAGACAACAGACUCAUGCAGUAGUCGUAAUAACCGGUUUAAGAUCACGGUAUACUGAGGUAUUCAGAGAAUAUGAACCCCCAAAACUCUUAGGUCUUAUAGCCUAUUGUACAGUAUUGAAUUUAAAUCAUAUGUUAUUGCGUCAGUUUAAUAAUUGUACUACUAUGUGGAUGACAGUUGAAUAAUAUGGUUGACUGUGUUGGAAUCUUCAAAACCCUUUAUCUUGUGCCAGUUCUGAUAACCUUCUCUUCAUGCUGACCAAAAAGUACAACAUGUAGCCUCAUCACAGCUCCAAGUAUUCUUUUUGAACAUUCCUAUUGAUUGCUUUGACCUGUUACAUUUCAUUCUAUUAUCUGAGAAGGGAAUCCAACUUUACAGGCUCAAACCAAAUGAGGCAAACUUUCAAUACAAAAAAACAUUAAAUGUUUCUUUAGUUUAAAGCUUCACCUUCUUAAAGGGCAUUUUCUAUUCCAUGUCUCUACAUUUUCAACUGGGAAGGUGGGUAGUAAUAACAUUGGUGUAUCUGAAGCAUAGAAUUUGUAUCUUUA
rnacentral:lncRNA from 1 species